UCCUCCUGACAACAUUAUCCUGAGGAACAUUGUCAGGUGCUGUAAAUCAGGUAUAAAAGGCCAGAAAGAAUGUAUUAAAUGAAACAGAGAACUGAAUGACACAGAGAAAAUUGCUAAAAAGGUUUUUUUUAUUUCCUCCUAUUUUUUUUUUCUGAAAAUUCUGGACAUUAGAAAAAGGCCUGAUCAAGCUUGCCAUAAGCAGAACUUGGAUUGCAGCCUGUUGAAAAUUUCCAGUACAGAAAUGGAGCUGUUCAAGCUGGGGAGAAAGUAGAUGCUUAAUAGAGCAGAAAUGAAGAUACAAGAGAGUCCUUUGAACCACCUGACCAUGUGCUCCUCACAAUGUGUGUGGUGUGGCAUUUUGCAGCUCUGACAUCCCUUUAAAACUAGAUGGCUCUUUAGGAAGGUUCAUGAGGUUUAGGAAGUCCACUUCAAAAUCUAUUGAACGAACAUUUUAAGUCAAAAUAUCAAAUGUGAAUGUGAUAUUACUACAAAUAUGUAAUGUGAAUUAAGGUAUUGAGAUGAUAAUUAAAAAAAAGAGAGAGAAGCUAAAAAAUAGGUCUAUACAAUAAAAUGUAGGUGAAUUAUAUAUAGAAUAUAUUUCUAUACCAAAAGCUGUAUUCCGUAAAAUGUUUGUAAUGUGAAUUCCUAAACUUGAAUGUACGUGAGCUCUCAAAGUACCUCACUGAGUAUGUUGAAAGGCCACUUGGCAUCUGUAGUUUUCCAUCUAGCUACACUCAGUCAUCCCACUGUGUAGUAGGGCAGAGACUGAGAAAUUAAGCAGAGUGACACCUUGCCUGCUGAAGACUCUGUAUUGGGUAAGUACUAAGAUUCACUGCAGCACAAAAACUUCAGUGUCAUCCACUUUUAUCAGAACAAUUUGUUCUAUGAGAAGCAGAGCUAGUGGUGCCUGACAGCCUGUAUGUGCACAGGAGAUGUCCCCUGUGUACUCUGUAUUCCUCAUGCUGUAAUUCUAAUGACAAACUCCUUCCUAUAAUUUUUGCUAAUAAUUUACCUGUCUCUUCCUUAUCUGCUGCUUACCUUCUUCGGCUUGCUGCCUGAUUAUUUGGCAUAUACCACAGCUGCUUUGGAAUCACAAGGUCCUCACUGAUGGGUCAGGUUCUGCCAGCCUCAGUAGCAAUUUCUUUAAGCAAAGAAAUUGGCAGAGGUGAUUUGUAGUAGUCAGCAUGGAUAUACAAAAGGGAAAUCAUGCUUAACCAAACUGAUCUCUCUCUAUGUUGAUAUGUUUGUGUUGGUGGAGGACAGGAGAGAAAUUGAUUUACCUCCACUGUAUUAAGGCUUUGACACUUCCCUCAACAUUGUUCAGAGAAUCUGUUCAAAUGCAACUUAGGAAAGUGAGCAGUGAGGUGCACUCAGCUUUACUUUAAGGGUUGUGAUCAACAGCAUCAAAUUCAGCUGGAAUCUGGGCACUAGAGGUGCACCUGAGGGGUUAGCAGUGGAGCCAAUACUAUUUAAGAGCUUCAUUAAUAAUUUUAUUACAAACCUCAGCAGUUUUGCAAGUGAUACAAAACUCUGAGAAUCUGAUGAUACACAGGAGGGUUUUGCUGCUCUUUAGAGGGACCUUGCCAAGCUGGAGGACUUGAUGAAUAGGAAUCUCAUGAAAUAAUAAAAAGAAAUAGCUCCAGGUACUAGGGCAAGCUGGAGACCAAGCUGUUGGAAAAUGUUUACAGAAAAGGAGGAUUGUGGUAGUCAAAAUGGUGACCAAGGGUCAGCAGUGUGAUCUCAUGGCAAAGGUGGUCAACAGCAUCUUCAGCUGCCUGAGGAAGAUUGUCAUGAACAGCCUAGAGAGGUUACAGCUGUGGCACUCAGUCUGGGGUGUUGUUUAAAUCCCUCUUUAGAACUGGCCUGCAGCUCAUCUAUCCUAGUGAGCUGAGCAGAGCUGGGCCAGAGCUGGGCUAGCUGGCAGAGGCAGGCCACAGCCAUGUGGCUAAAUUCUUUUAACCUCCUGAAAAAGGAACAGCAUUGCGAUUUCCAGCAGUGGAUCCAGAUUCUCCAUUGAAGAGUUAUCUGAAAACAUGACAGAACAGUUACUGAUAGCUAAACUCACUCCUAGGCAUAUGGGGACAGAAACAAGUGUGACACCUAGGGGAAUGCUCCCUCCUCCAAGCCUCUUGUCAGACACAUUUUUCUGUGGAAAAUCAAGCGGAACAUUGUCACUUGGAAGUACAGGCUGAAGCAGGACAGUUUCAUUACCUUUGGCAAAACAUAUAAAGAUGCCCUAGAAUGUAACUGCUAUUGUUGAUGCUUUUGACACUUCAGUUUUCAACAAGGAGGAAAAGGGAUUUUUUUGAAACAAGUAGAUUAAUGUAUGUAUAUGCAGAUGUUGGAAAUCCUAUUCUUAUUAGAAGAAAAUUUUGCUGGUCAAAACAGAAAGAGUAAGUAAUUUAGGAAGUUUGAGUCUUUUUCUAGAAAUGCUUUUAGUUGUGGUCACUUGCAAGGUUGUGUUGCACCUCUACAGAGUGUUAAGAAGCAUUAAGUAAAUAAAUAAAUAAAUGGAAUCAUAGAAUUAAUCAGGUGGGAAGAGGCCUCUAGAGAUAGUCCAGCCCAACCCCCCUGUACAGGAUAUAAGUAUUCAGUGCUCUAACUACUAAAAUGUAUCUAGAAUGGGAAAUUUUGAAUGAAUGUAUAUACAAAGUAGGACAUCCACUUUGCCAGGCUGUGUUUUAUGAGGCAACAAUUAAAAAGUAAUCCACGGGUUUUGUCUGUUGCCACUGCUGUACCUGUUUAAAUAAAGGCAUCUUAUUUCUCACGCUCAGUUCUGUAAGUCUGAGACUUCCAUGACAAAUUGUUCACUCUCUGAUCAGAGAAGUGCUUAAAAAUGUAGACUGUUUCUGUAGUCCUUUUCUUUCUGAUUCUAUCUUCAUAAUGUGCAUUAUGCAGUUAUUCACAGUCAAUAUACUAAAUUCUUUUCAGUCAUUUUUUUGCCAGAUCUGAAAUUGCACUUCCAAUCCUAUGACUUGCCUUAUCAGUUAUAGGUAUGUAAAAUAAAAUAAUAUGAUCAGUUGGAUUUGCUUCGACAUAACAAAGUAAUUAUUAUUUUACUACAUUCAUCAUAGCCCCUGUUAUUUCUGCCACCUUUUUACUGAAAAUGAAUGCUAGACCUCAUGUUGGUAUCUUUUCUGAGAUUAUAAAUUGUACUUUUUCCAGCCUGAUAACAACCACAAGAGGGUUAUUACAUAUAUGUCAGAUUAACUAUUCAACUUACUUAGUCACAGGGUGACCUCUUUGAUUUUAAUACAAAUGUCAAAACAUUACACAUUUUCAACAUAAAAAAUCUUUACUGAAAGAGAAGAGAAAAUAUUUAUAUGUGUUUUAUUUAGGCAGCAAGUCCCAACAGAGAGAUCUUGUUAUCUCAUACAGCAUCAAGUCCUUGGUUUCUCUCUCAGCCCCUGCAGUGAUUAAACUGGAGGUGCACAGUUGGUUGGGAAGAAGCACGACUGAGCAGAUUACCUGAACUCACCAAAGACUUAUUCCAUAUCACAUAACAUCCUAACAAGCAAUAAAAGGGAAAAGAGAGAAGUUUAGGAUUAUUAGAUAUCUUUUGCUCAGGAACUGUCCAUGCAAGAGUCUACCCAUAGGUGAGUGCCUUUUCUGCUCACUCUUUUUUUUUCUUUGAUUCCUCUUACCCUGCACUUAUUAAACAAUUUUUCUUUUUGUUUUUUUCUUUUAAACCUUCCAACACUUCUUUCUUUUGGUCUUUCUUUUCUCUUCCCCUGUCAGUGGGGCUGAUGGAGGGGAAGUGAGCAAGCAGCUCAAGCAGCUCAGCUGACCACCAGGGUUAACCCUAACAACUAUUUAUAAUUGUCACACAGAAAUAAAUAUAAUCUCAAACCAUCAGUACUAUCAAUAAAAAGCUCACUAACUACAGCAAUCAUUUGGAAAAACACAUGGUUCCAAAUAUCUGCAGACAUUAUAUUCAUUUUCACUAACUGGAGGCCAGAUCUCUCUAUAAUCCACUUAUUCAUUUGAUCAAUCCCAUACUGAUAUUUCAUGAAUGUUGCAUAAGAUGAACUGUAUGUCUGUGAUGUUUGCAAUAAUAACACUCUGAAAGUUAACAGAAAUCUUAUUAAAGAUGCAAUAAGAUGUUUUUGCAUAUUUUCUGAAUGUAAUGCAGAACAAUUAAUUUAUGUUUUAUAUCUAUAUAUGUGAAAAUUAUGUCUUCUUGAAAAAUCUCUUAAUGUUCAAGAAAAAAUUAGUUUCAGUGAGGUCCUUGUGUCUUUAAUAUAUUUGGCAUACUUCCUCUUUGGUUGUUCUUAUCUAGUGCUUUGAAGAAUAGGUUUUUGAUUAAAUU